AAUGCUCGCUCUGUCCGGGGUUGGAGCUCUGUGCCGCUCUGUGCCGCUCCGGGCCGCGCCGCGCCGCGCCGGGAGGAGGCGGAGGAGGCGGAGGGGCAGCGCCGCGUCCCGGAGCUGCGGGGCCACGGCGGAGCGCAGCGAGACCCCAAAGCUUUGCGCACGGAAGCUGAGGCCGGGCACAGCUCAUUGCACAGUUGGGCCCAGGAGACCUCGAGGUGCCUCCCCCGCCCCCCAGGUACCACCCCCCGCCCGUCCCCAUGGACUGAGAGCACACGGGGGUCUCUGCAGCAGCGCAGCCCCCGCCCCGCCGGGAGGAAAGCUGGAAGGCACCGCAAAUAUGAGCGACUUCUGGCACAAGCUGGGCUGCUGCGUCGUGGAGAAACCACAGCCUAAGAAGAGGAGGAGACGGAUCGACCGCUCCAUGAUCGGCGAGCCCAUGAACUUCGUGCACCUGACGCACAUCGGCUCCGGAGACAUGGCUGCGGGCGAAGGGCUGCCCAUGACGGGCGCUGUGCAGGAGAUGAGGUCCAAAGGCGGACGGGAGCGGCAGUGGAGCAGCUCCCGUGUGUUGUAGCAUGUGAGUACGCGGCCACUGCAGGACUGGGGCAGCCCUCAGUGCCCGCCGUCACCAUCCAAGAUUCUUGGCUCUUUCAGCCCAAACUUGAACUGCCUGAUCCCCACACCGGAGGAAAAGCCAACCUCGAGCGCUUGAUUCCCGUGGUAACUUAUGCAGGCGGAGCCUCACGGCCAUCCCAGCGGCUCUGGGUCACCCCCCACAGAUCCCCCCUUCCCGGGCACCGGGCCGGCCAGGAGCUUUCCCUCCCUGUGGGGGGAAGCAGAGCAGCCCACCCUGCACCGGGAGACACCGCGCACAGCCACGAUGUGCCAAAUCCCCCCCUUCCCCCUCGCCCCACACCCCGGCUGGUACCGCUGUCUCCCAUGGGCCGCCCCCCAUGCCUCGGCUUCCCCAUGGGACAGCAGCGGGGCAGGUUGUGCUGCAGGGGCUGAGCUGGAGCGGCGUUACAGAGUCUUGGACCCCCAGCACUGGGCAUCCCGCAGCUCCAACACUGCCACCGAGCCCGCCUGCCCUCCAGCCUUCAGCCGGCAUCGCCGCCAGCAAACCUCCGCCUUCCUUCUUUUUUAGGAUCUUUUUUGGUUUUUUUUUUAAAGCUCAAAACCUCCCCCUUGGCCUCUCCUGUUGCCGCCAGGCUGCUCCCCCAGGAAGGAGGGACUCUCAGGUUCCGAAUCCAGGCGCACGUGUACAUAGUUUAAAUAGCGCCGGGGCUGAACAGGAACGAGCAGAUGCCGGAGCCAUGUGGGCAGCCGAGCUUCCCUUCCCUGCGCUCCCAGUGAUGCUGGGCUGCUCAGCCCCACGCUGCGCCCGGCCCCCGUGAGCGAGCGCAGAUGCUUGAGUCAGUUUUUAUCCCCCUGGAAAACCCACUGGAAAAACAACAAAACCCCACCUUUGAAAUAAAAUCUUGUGCUAGGCCGA